UAUAUGUGUUGCCAUGAGACAUCUAACCGUUAGAACAUAUCGGCGUUCUAUUGAACGUUUUCUGUUCGAAAACAAGAACAACUUCAAUUUGCUGUUUAACAACAACAAACUUGUCUGAUUUUUGAGACCUGAGAUUGAAACAUCGACUGGAAAAUGCCUGGGUGCUUUUCAAGAUUGACGGAGCGAGUGCGAGGACGUCGGCAGCCUUCUGCGUCGACAGGUUGUUCAAAUUCAUUUAUGGGUUGUUUUUGUUGUCUUUUUCCGUUUUGCAGGGUUCGCGAUCGUCGGGAGGUGGACAGCGACAGCGACUUCGAAGAGGAAUCAACUGUGCUGGAUGAGGUCCAGUUGGAUGUGCCACUGCUGCCAGUUAUCCUUAAUGUCCAGGAUGCUGCUAUCAUCCUCAAAAAUGUGCCAGAUGUGCUGACUAUCUUUGAGGAGGCCACUGGUAAUUGGCAGCUGAUACCGAUUAGGUUCAGCCCCCUGUACUGUGGGCCUGUUGUGAUCAGGAACAAUGCCGGUCCGGUGGCUAAAGCCUGGAGAACUUUCCAGUUCUUCAGCCCCUCUAUCACCUACAUGCGUGGGGGAUCCCAGCAGGUGGUGGUGAGGAGGCACCAUGUGAGUAGGGUUCGAGGCCUGGAGACUCAACUGGUGUGGGCCAUCUCCAAGGAGACAGCCAGGCUUAGUCCAGAGGGCAUCCCCUACUGUGCCACCAAGGUGCAGUCCGUCACUUGGAUCCAGUAUGUGGCUGGCAGGGUGACCCAGUAUGUGUCUCACCUCCGCCACGAGACGUCUGUGGACGUGACGUUUGGCUGCUACCAGCAGACUGAUGUCUCAGUGGUGUAUGCCACUCUCCACAUGGGGCUGGAUGGGCUGCUCUCCUCCUCGGCGUGGUCGGAGGCUGCCUCCGUGUCUACGCCCACCAAUCAGCAGUUCACUGAGCCAGAGCCUGAGGGCCACAACUGCUAUGAGGGCUGGGAGGAGGACCUGCUGCCUGAGGAGAGAGAGGUUCCUCUGCUAAACCUCUACCUUACCACCAAGAGAGUGGAGGACAUCGCCCUGAGGCUCGUCUCCCUGCGCCAGGCCUUCACUACACUGUUUGGUUCCACCCUGGGCAGGAACCAUCUGUUUGUGGCAGGAAAGGUCCUAAUGGGUGCACUGGUUCAGGCCCACCACAUGGACGAGGCCGAAUUCAUCCGUGCCUAUAAUGACUUUGUGGACUACCUGAGUGACCCCUCCAAGAAGAUUGACAUUGAGAGGGAGCUGGUUGAGGCAAAGAUCCAUCAUGUUAACCUGAUAGAUGUCCUCUUUGAACUGGUGCUGUUUGGGUUGAUGACAGCUCAGAAGUCCCUGAUGGUGCACCCUGGUGGGUUCAUGGAGCGUCUGUACGCUCUCCUGUACUCCUUCCUGCCCGCUGCUGCCAGCAUUGAGCCAAAGGCUGAGAGAUACCUGCUGCUGCUCAAUGAUUCUUGUGACACUUUGCCACCUAACAGGGAUCUAGACACUAAUGCACUACAUUACUUUGCACUGAAUUUUACAUUUUUAAAUAAAAUAACUAGUAUUUCA
ensembl:lncRNA